CAUAUGAUUAGAAUAAGUAGGAUGCAAACUCCUCUUACCAGGAGUGACCGAUUUUAUGUUGACCUACUCAUAACUUUCAUACAUAAUUUACCAUAUCUAGAACAUCCCAUUCAUGACUAAGUCAUAAUUGAGUAUGAACCAAAAUAUGAAAUCAUGUAUACAAGGUUCAAUGGUAGUCUUAGGUCGAAAGACUAUAUACAUAAUUCCCACUAU
rnacentral:lncRNA from 1 species